rnacentral:lncRNA from 1 species
AGAUCAGAACAUAAACAGCUCGCUCCAGGAGGCCUUCAUAUUACCUCGAACUAUCUAGCAAUCCAUAAAAGGAAAGAGGAUGGGAUUUGCAAGAACUGAAUGGUCCUUCCUUGCCCGUCUGCUACCAAACAAAAGAACUGAAGCAAUAUGCACAAAAGGAAGUGGAAGUGGCAUUUCUUAUUUCCUUUGGCUGAUGUGUAACCUGUUAAAAUCUUCAAAACAUGAAAACUAUGGAUAAAGUCAGGAGUACGGUGUGGUUCACUGUCCGUUUCCCCCGUGAGCACUAGGAAAAGCUGAUAUGAGUUUAAAAUUCUUAGGAAUCUCACUAAUGAAAGCAUGACUUUGAGAGGACUCUUGGGAGGGUGAAUAAACCAUUUCGUACAUAGAAAUCAUAAACGCUUAACAAAGGCCCCCACAGAGUAAGGGAAUAGUUCUUCGUAUCAGCUUCUCAUCAUGGAGACAAACUGGAGCCACGAAGGUAAAAGCAUCCCUGAGACUGGCCUCAUUUCUAUUCAUCUCUUGUUCUUGUUUUCUUCCUUAUUGCUAAGAGAAUUCUGUAUUUACCUUACUAUUAAAGUCUGCUGCCACAGU